rnacentral:piRNA from 1 species
UAGGACCUGAGAACUUAACUUGUUAUGGG